rnacentral:rRNA from 1 species
UACGUAGGGUGCGAGCGUUGUCCGGAAUUCUUGGGCGUAAAGGGCUCGUAGGCGGUCUGUUGCGUCAGGAGUGAAAACUCGGGGCUUAACCCCGAGCCUGCUUCUGAUACGGGCAGACUAGAGGUAUGCAGGGGAGAACGGAAUUCCUGGUGUAGCGGUGAAAUGCGCAGAUAUCAGGAGGAACACCGGUGGCGAAGGCGGUUCUCUGGGCAUUACCUGACGCUGAGGAGCGAAAGCGUGGGGAGCGAACAGG